rnacentral:tRNA from 1 species
GGGCGGUUCGUAUAGCGGCUAUUACAUCAGACUGUAAAUCUGACGUCCUCUGGACUUCGGGGGUUCGAGUCCCUCACCGCCCA